rnacentral:rRNA from 1 species
UACAGAGGGUGCAAGCGUUGUUCGGAAUUAUUGGGCGUAAAGGGCGCGUAGGCGGUGCGGUAAGUCUGCGGUGAAAUCUCCCGGCUCAACUGGGAGGCUGCCGUGGAAACUGCCGUGCUUGAGUGUGGGAGAGGUGAGUGGAAUUCCUGGUGUAGCGGUGAAAUGCGCAGAUAUCAGGAGGAACACCGGUGGCGAAGGCGGGUCUCUGGGCCGAUACUGACGCUGAGGAGCGAAAGCGUGGGGAGCGAACAGG